AGUGGCGGACGGGUGAGUAACACGUAAGAAUUUGCCUUUAGGAGGGGGAUAACAACUAGAAAUGGUUGCUAAUACCCCAUAUGCUUUCGAGUGAAAUGGAUUUUUCCGCCUAAAGAGAAGCUUGCGGCUGAUUAGCUUGUUGGUGAGGUAAUGGCUCACCAAGGCGACGAUCAGUAUCUGGUUUGAGAGGACGAUCAGACACACUGGAACUGAGACACGGUCCAGACUCCUACGGGAGGCAGCAGUGGGGAAUUUUCCGCAAUGGGCGAAAGCCUGACGGAGCAAUACCGCGUGAGGGAUGACGGCCUGUGGGUUGUAAACCUCUUUUUUCAGGGAGGAAUCAAAUGACGUGUACCUGAAGAAUAAGCAUCGGCUAACUCCGUGCCAGCAGCCGCGGUAAGACGGAGGAUGCAAGUGUUAUCCGGAAUCACUGGGCGUAAAGCGUCUGUAGGUGUCCAAUAAGUCAACUGUUAAAUCUUGAGGCUCAACCUCAAAAUCGCAGUCGAAACUAUUAGACUAGAGUAUAGUAGGGGUAAAGGGAAUUUCCAGUGGAGCGGUGAAAUGCGUAGAGAUUGGAAAGAACACCGAUGGCGAAGGCACUUUACUGGGCUAUUACUAACACUCAGAGACGAAAGCUAGGGUAGCAAAUGGGAUUAGAUACCCCAGUAGUCCUAGCCGUAAACAAUGGAUACUAGAUGUU
rnacentral:rRNA from 1 species